rnacentral:rRNA from 1 species
AGCAGCCGCGGUAAUUCCAGCUCCAAUAGCGUAUAUUAAAGUUGUUGCAGUUAAAAAGCUCGUAGUUGAAUUUCGGGAUCAAUUCGUCGGUCGUGCUUUUUGGUACGUACUGGCGUUAUUGGUUUCUCCCUUCUGACGAGCCAUGAUGUCAUUAAUUUGGUGUUAUGGGGAGUUAGGACUGUUACUUUGAAAAAAUUAGAGUGUUUAAAGCAGGCAUUAGCUUGAAUACAUUAGCAUGGAAUAAUGAAAUAGGACGCUCGAUCCUAUUUUGUUGGUUUCUAGGAUCAACGUAAUGAUUAAUAGGGAUAGUUGGGGGCAUUAGUAUUCAAUUGUCAGAGGUGAAAUUCUUGGAUUUAUUGAAGACUAACUACUGCGAAAGCAUUUGCCAAGGAUGUUUUCAUUAAUCAAGAACGAAAGUUAGGGGAUCGAAGACGAUCAGAUACCGUCGUAGUCUUAACCAUAAACUAUGCCGACUAGGGAUCGGAUGAUGUUAAUUUUUUAAUGACUCA